GAUGAACGCUGGCGGCGUGCUUAACACAUGCAAGUCGAACGGUGAACGAGGGAGCUUGCUCCCUCCGGAUCAGCGGCGAACGGGUGAGUAACACGUGAGCAAUCUGCCCUGGACUCUGGGAUAAGCGUUGGAAACGACGUCUAAUACCGGAUACGAGACGCGAAGGCAUCUUCAGCGUCUGGAAAGAACUUCGGUCCAGGAUGAGCUCGCGGCCUAUCAGUUAGUUGGUGAGGUAACGGCUCACCAAGCCUACGACGGGUAGCCGGCCUGAGAGGGUGACCGGCCACACUGGGACGGAGACACGGCCCAGACUCCUACGGGAGGCAGCAGUGGGGAAUCUUCCGCAAUGGACGAAAGUCUGACGGAGCAACGCCGCGUGAGGGAUGAAGGCCUUCGGGUUGUAAACCUCUGUCUUCAGGGAAGAAAGAAAUGACGGUACCUGAGGAGGAAGCCCCGGCUAACUACGUGCCAGCCGCCGCCGUAAGAC
rnacentral:rRNA from 1 species